CCCCCAUAUAAUUCACGUCCUGUUGCAUUUCCUCUGUAAAAGCACAUUGACCAUUAAUAUGGUCACCACCGCACAAAUCGCAUAAUUGUUGUGCCUGGGAAAUAUUUCUAAGCCCCCGAGGAAGUUCAAAAAUAACCUUUAGCAACUUGUCCAAUUUCUGACUGAGGAGGUGAUUUUGUGCUGCUGCUGCGUCUUCAGUGGGGAGAUGUAAAAGUCCCCCUUUUUGCGUACCUCUUUCACUCUGCGACACUUCAUUGAGAGCCAUCUCUUUAAUUAAGUAGUACGCCUCAUCCUCUGUCUUUCUAUUAAUACUGCCUCCAGCUGAGGCAUCUAUCAUCAUUUUAGACUGAGCGCGCAAACCUCCAAGGAACGCUAGCAAGUAUGAAGCUUUAUCAAACCCAUGAAUUGGGGUCGCUCUCAACAAUCCUUUGAAUCUAUCCC
rnacentral:lncRNA from 1 species